rnacentral:tRNA from 1 species
CGGGGCUAGUCAGGCUAGAUCGAGGGUUUCGGUUCCGAGGUCGGAGCCGGUGCCGAUGCCGGCGCCGGUUCCGGAGCCGACGGCUUCGCC